CCUACGGGGGGCUGCAGUGGGGAAUAUUGGACAAUGGGGGCAACCCUGAUCCAGCCAUGCCGCGUGUGUGAAGAAGGCCCUCGGGUUGUAAAGCACUUUCAGUGAGGAAGAACGCCUGGUGGUUAAUACCCAUCAGGAAAGACAUCACUCACAGAAGAAGCACCGGCUAACUCCGUGCCAGCAGCCGCGGUAAUACGGAGGGUGCGAGCGUUAAUCGGAAUUACUGGGCGUAAAGCGCGCGUAGGUGGCUUGAUAAGCCGGUUGUGAAAGCCCCGGGCUCAACCUGGGAACGGCAUCCGGAACUGGCAAGCUAGAGUGCAGGAGAGGAAGGUAGAAUUCCCGGUGUAGCGGUGAAAUGCGUAGAGAUCGGGAGGAAUACCAGUGGCGAAGGCGGCCCUCUGGACUGACACUGACACUGAGGUGCGAAAGCGUGGGUAGCAAACAGGAUUAGAUACCCGUGUAGUC
rnacentral:rRNA from 1 species